rnacentral:lncRNA from 1 species
AUCACUAGAUGUUAGAAUUAUAGAAAUAUAAAAUAAUAUGUUUAACAUGUUUUUAAAAAGGAUAGUAUAAAAGAAUGACAGAAGGAAAAGAGACUACCAAAAUCGACCAGGGAAAUUUGAUAACUGAAAUAAAUAGAGAUUUUAGAAAUGAAAUUUGAAACCGAAUAAACUGAUGAAACAGUAAAUUAGAAACAGUUGUAGAAGGAAUUAGCAAACUGGAAGAGCUACCUGAAAAAAUGAAAGGUUAGGAGACUUGUACAAAAGAAUGGCAGGCUCCAGAAAAUAUCUACUCAGUGUUUCAGGAAAUAACAGGAAGAGUGAAGUAGAACUAUUUCAAUGUAUAAAUAUUGAAAGAAAAUGAACCUUAGAUUCAGAAAAUCCAGUGGAUCACAAGCAAGCAAAAAAUGAAUAUUUUAAAACUGAACAAAAGAAAAGUGCUUAACACAAGCCAGGCAGAAUUCUAAGCAAUUUACGUAUGUUAACAGUUAAUCCUCAAACGUGUGAAGUUUUUUAGGCACAGAAAACUUAAAAUAAUAUGGCUAAGGUUUCAUUGCUAGCAAAUUAUAGGGGCAGUCUGGCUCCUGACUUCUUGCUGUUAAGGAUUCUAUGGUACUGUCUCUUGAAGAGAGUCUCGAGUUGGUACAUCUUAGUGCAAAAUGGUAAGGUACCAAAAGCAGAGAGAUCUUAAAAGCAGUAAGAAAGAGAAGACAGAUAACCUACAAAGGAAAGAUAAUUAAAUAGAUAGCUGGCUUCUCAACCGAAAUUGAAGCCAAAAGAAAAGUGCUUGGAACAAAUAACCUUCAAUCUGGAAUAAUCUUUCACGAGUGAAGGUAAAAUAAAGACACUCAGCCCAAUAAAAAUGAAGAGAAUUUAUUACUAACAGGCACACAACAAAAACACACAAGACAAAACAAAAAUCCCCAAACCAAAACAUACUUCAAGUAGAAGGAUUAAGGAUGGAGGGAUGAAACCUGGUAUAUUUGUGAAUCAGUGGAAGGAAAACAUGGGAUGUGGGCAGACAUUACAAAUACUUCCAUAAAUCUAAAAUAACCACAAGAAACAUUUUAAAAAGAUCCAAAUAGUCAUUCAGACAUUAUCAGACUAACAACAAAUAGAAAAUGAUAGGCAAUAAAGGGCAUUGCAAAGUCACCAUCUAAAACAGAAAGACACAGAAAGAUUAAAGGAUGGAAAACUAUAUACCAGGAAAACCUAACAGAGCCCAGAAAUGGCUCUCACAUUUGCUCUGCUCUCUCUUUCAUUGCUCUGUUGUCUAUCACAGAGACCUCUAUUCCCAGGUUCCCUUGCCUUCUUGUUUACUGUAGUUUUGGCCCCUGGGAAAAGUACUGACAGAGACCAGAGGGCAGAAAAAAAGAAGACAGAAGAAAGUUAGCAGCUUUCUCUUUUCUGCAGCUCUGCCUCUUUUGGAAAGCCCCUCCCUCUGUGUUCAAAAUAAAAAGUGACCGUGGCAGCCAAGGGGAGAGAGUUUGGGACAUUUAAAAAACACAAUAAUGGAAGAUAAUACGAGAAAAAAGAAUGUAUAUAUGAAUUGGCCAAUUUUUGGACACAGCAGAAAUUGACAGAACAUUGUCAAUCAGCUAUACUUUAAUAAAUUUCUUUUUUUUUUUUUUUUAAAGAAAUGCCAGGAAGCCGGAGCUGGCUCUAUGGGUGAGAGACUAGUGGAACAGGAGGUUGGUUUGGCAGGUGGGAUUCUAGAAUUCCUAGCACAUUACAGACACUGGUAAGGAGUGGGUCUGGUUGCAGAGGCAUGGACCCACUCUAUCAGCAGCUGCUGAGGGUGGGGCAGGAGCCUGCAGGGGCGGAUAAGGCCAGUGCAGCUGAGAUUCAGGGGAGGGUUAGGCAUCAGGUUCUCUUGGGCCAGGGGAGCCCCAGCAUCUUCUACUGUCCUGAGUGUGCGUGUCCACCAGGAGAAAAGAGCUCCAAUGGAGCCCAAACAGGGUCAGAGUGGUGUUAUCUCCUGAUACAGAUUAUGACCUUCUCUUGUCUGUGUUGCUAAAGUCUCUGGAAUAUAAAUUCUAAGAGGAUAGGACUUUGCCUCAUUCAUAGCUGUAUUCCCAGUGCCCAGAACAGUGCCUGCCAUACAAUAUUGCAAAAAAUAACUUUCAAUAAAUAGGCAUCAAAGUAACACAUAGAAAAAUGAUAGUAACUAGGACGCCUGAUUUUUUUUUCCUAUUACUAGAGUAGACUAGGACUAUAAAUUAAUAUCAUUUUUGAAAUGGAGAUUCUUUAAUUUAGCUACAUGGUUCCAGACUGUCAACAUGUGUAUAAAACACAGUCAUCUCUUUCUAUCUAAUCAUAUCUUAUCAGUGUCAGUAGAACACAAUGGCCCUUUGUUGAAAUAUUUUUCAAGAGAAUUUGCCUUUGGUGAUAAUGAAAAUCUGGAAAGGAGAAUCCUUUCAACUUCAAGACUUUUUGUUGUUGUUGUUAAAAUGUAUCACAGUCAAAGUUUUGUUUCAGUUUGAUUAUUAAUUAAAACUUCCAACUGAGGAAGUAAUUUUUCCCUUGUUAAGCAUGAUUGAAUUAGGAAAUGUAAGGAAUGCACUUAAACUGUAAUAAGAGUGUCACGUGGUAGUUUAUUAAGCUUUUGGCUCUGAUGUGCAGCCCAGAAAAGUCAUUCUCUGUCUUCAUGGAUGAAAGGACUGAAACUGACAGAAUUCAUGAGCAUGAAAACGUCUGUGUCAUGCUUUGGGGAAGGCCAGUUACUUCGUCCAAUUUCUAGUGCUUUUAGGCAGUAGGCAAUCGUCAUUUUAAGAGUAGCUACAAAUAUUCAGCUCUCUGUUGUCCUAAUAUGUGCCUGAAUGUGACAUCGAAGGAAGCAAAGACAAUCAUGACUCUUGAUCUAAGGAGAGUUAUGCAUCUGAACCAUGAAGGAACAUGUUGGAUAAGAUUACCCCCGGAGAUUUUUAGCACUUCUGCCUUUAGCCAGAUCACUUACAAAGUCUGAGGCUGUCAAAACCAAAAGCAUUCCCUUAACGCCUAUCAUUUCCAAGGUUUCUAGUAUUAUUUUCAGCACCACCAGUAGUCACUGUGCGUCUGCUUAGAACACUAUGUAGUUUUGAUACCCUUCAAGUAAUUUCUAUGUAUUCUUUUUAUUUAUACAGAUGGUCAUGUCCUAUGAGUAAACAUGAAAUAAAUCUUUGUUGAUAAUGGUAAUAAUAAAAACCAGAAAAUUUUUAGAUAUGAAAAACACUGUCAGGAUUGUGAUGCCCGUCUUAGAAUAUAAAGUGCAUUCUGAGAAUUAAGAUGAAAACCAAACAAUCCAAUUGUGAAAGAUCAGACGUUUUGAAAAAAUUGCAAACUUGGUAAAAGCAGAAAUUUUCAACUUAAAUGGAGUGCUGAAAUUGGUAUGGAAGUGAAAUGUUCUUUCAAGCAUUUUAGAACCUUUUCUUUUGUAAUAAUAAAUGUGGUUCCUAUUAUAUUUCUUCUCUUUUGGCACUGUAUCAAUAUGAAUCAUGAUGAAAUCAAGAAAAUACAUAAUAACUGCAGACGGAAAAACACAGAAGUACUCAUUACAUUGUUAGCAAGUCUAUACUGAGAAAAAAGCUUAGUGGUGGAAUUUCUUAUUCUAAAUUUUAAUGUUGGGGUAAAAAGUUAUCUCCUGUCAACAUUUAUUUGAAUCUGCCUAAUUCUUUCUACUUCUGUAGCUAAAAGCCUCUACCACCUCCGCAGCAACCACCUUUUAACCUCUUUUCCUCUAAUUCUGUCUCUCCACCAUCCGCUCUCCAAAAGCAAUCACAGUGAUCUUUUAAAAAUGUGCUUUGGGGCAUAUGCAAUUUCCAAACACCCCAUCCACAACCCCCCCUCCCCACCUUUCCCCUUAGGUAACCAUAAGUUUGUACACUAUUUGGUUAACGAAUCCGACUAGGAACCAUGAGGUUGCGGGUUUGAUCCCUGGCCUUGCUCAGUGGGUUAAGGAUCUGGCGUUGCCGUGAGCUGUGAUAUAGGUCACAGACAUGGCUUGGAUCCCGCAUUGUGGUGUAGGCCAGCAGUUACAGCUCCAAUUAAACCCCUAGCCUGGGAACCUCCAUAUGC